AGAACAUUUUUGGCAGCUGGAAAUGUUCCUGCCUACCAGUCUGUCACAGACGGCAUGUGCCAUGGGCUACCAGCACUGAGCAACUCUCUCAGGAAGAGCAUUUUUGCCUCACAGCUCAGCCUGCCCCAGCCACUGGAUCCACGGAGCCUCCAGGCAUUUGAGCUGUUUCCUUGGAGAGCAUUUCUGGAAGAUGGAGGACCAUUCCCAGUUAUGAGUAACAGCCCAGAUACCCUAGAAUAUAAUAUGCAGGUAGGAUAGGUCUUCUCCAUUGUUGCAGAGAGAACUGAG
rnacentral:lncRNA from 1 species